rnacentral:rRNA from 1 species
UAACACUGAGGCGUGACGACGAGGCACUACGGUGCUGAAGCAACAAAUGCCCUGCUUCCAGGAAAAGCCUCUAAGCAUCAGGUAACAUCAAAUCGUACCCCAAACCGACACAGGUGGUCAGGUAGAGAAUACCAAGGCGCUUGAGAGAACUCGGGUGAAGGAACUAGGCAAAAUGGUGCCGUAACUUCGGGAGAAGGCACGCUGACACGUAGGUGAAGUGAUUUACUCAUGGAGCUGAAGUCAGUCGAAGAUACCAGCUGGCUGCAACUGUUUAUUAAAAACACAGCACUGUGCAAACACGAAAGUGGACGUAUACGGUGUGACGCCUGCCCGGUGCCGGAAGGUUAAUUGAUGGGGUCAGCGCAAGCGAAGCUCCUGAUCGAAGCCCCGGUAAACGGCGGCCGUAACUAUAACGGUCCUAAGGUAGCGAAAUUCCUUGUCGGGUAAGUUCCGACCUGCACGAAUGGCGUAAUGAUGGCCAGGCUGUCUCCACCCGAGACUCAGUGAAAUUGAACUCGCUGUGAAGAUGCAGUGUACCCGCGGCAAGACGGAAAGACCCCGUGAACCUUUACUAUAGCUUGACACUGAACAUUGAGCCUUGAUGUGUAGGAUAGGUGGGAGGCUUUGAAGUGUGGACGCCAGUCUGCAUGGAGCCGACCUUGAAAUACCACCCUUUAAUGUUUGAUGUUCUAACGUGGACCCGUGAUCCGGGUUGCGGACAGUGUCUGGUGGGUAGUUUGACUGGGGCGGUCUCCUCCUAAAGAGUAACGGAGGAGCACGAAGGUUGGCUAAUCCUGGUCGGACAUCAGGAGGUUAGUGCAAUGGCAUAAGCCAGCUUGACUGCGAGCGUGACGGCGCGAGCAGGUGCGAAAGCAGGUCAUAGUGAUCCGGUGGUUCUGAAUGGAAGGGCCAUCGCUCAACGGAUAAAAGGUACUCCGGGGAUAACAGGCUGAUACCGCCCAAGAGUUCAUAUCGACGGCGGUGUUUGGCACCUCGAUGUCGGCUCAUCACAUCCUGGGGCUGAAGUAGGUCCCAAGGGUAUGGCUGUUCGCCAUUUAAAGUGGUACGCGAGCUGGGUUUAGAACGUCGUGAGACAGUUCGGUCCCUAUCUGCCGUGGGCGCUGGAGAACUGAGGGGGGCUGCUCCUAGUACGAGAGGACCGGAGUGGACGCAUCACUGGUGUUCGGGUUGUCAUGCCAAUGGCACUGCCCGGUAGCUAAAUGCGGAAGAGAUAAGUGCUGAAAGCAUCUAAGCACGAAACUUGCCCCGAGAUGAGUUCUCCCUGAGACUUAAAGUCUCCUGAAGGAACGUUGAAGACGACGACGUUGAUAGGCCGGGUGUGUAAGCGCAGCGAUGCGUUGAGCUAACCGGUACUAAUGAACCGUGAGGCUUAACCUUACAACGCCGAAG